UAGGCCUGCAAAGAAGCACGGACAGGUGAGCAGUGUGCUGACACCUGCACGCAGCUCAGGCCUGCAGAGGAACCAGAAUGUGUUCAAUGAUGGACUGGAAGCAGAGGUGAUGGAAGUCCUCCGGAGUUCCCCUGGGUCACCUGGAGCUUCCACCAGGCCCUGAGCGACAGACAGAGUUCCCACGGACGCCUAAACUCCGAAACACCCCUUCAGCUGCCCCGGAUCACCUGGAGCUGUCACGGUACCCUGACCUUCACACGGGCCCCCCGAGCUCUCAUGAGCCCCCCCAGGUCCCACGACCAGCCCAGAUCCCACAGACCACUCCCUGCCAGGCACUCACCCCCUUGCCCAGGCGCCUUUUGAUCUCGUAUUUGCGGCACACGAGCGGCUCCACCUCGGGCGGGCUCAUGGCGGCACCUCCCUGUGGGCUCCCGCUGCCAUGGAAACGGCCCCGCGCACCGCGCAUGCGCUCAGCCCCGCGGAGCUCGCCCGGCGGCGCCGUGACCUCGGGCGGGCGGCGCGCGAACGCUGAGGGAGGAGAGGCAGCGGGAGGGCCCUUGCUCGGCUUGGGACUCGGGCCUGGACGGACAGCACGGGGGGAAUGGCUUCCCACUGCCAGAGGGCAAAGUUAGAUGGGGUCUUGGGAAGAAAUUCUUCCCUGUGAAGGUGGAGAGGCCCUGGCACGGGUUGCCCAGAGAAACUGUGGCUGCCCUAUCCCUGGUAGUGUCCAAGGCCAGGAUGGAGCAGCCUGGGAUAGUUGAAGGUGUCCCUCUCAUGACAGGUUGAUGGGAUUGGACGAGUUUUAAGGUUCGUUCCAAGCAGGUAGAGAAGAUCUCUGAAGCCCAAUUCUUGUCUGAAAUAGAUGGUUGAAAUCAAAAUUGUAAUUAGCCUUUUGGCGUGCUGGGUACCAAGAUGGGACAAGGCCAUCUGUCUGGCAGCCCAGCUAGUGAGGUUGGUGGAGUGCUGCUUCUGAGACUACUGGUUCAAUUCUCAUCUCUACCCAAGUCCAAGUUUUAUCAGUGACUUGAGCAUUUAAAUCUGAUUAAAAUAUGAUUUAGACAACAGCUGCAAUCAAUCUAAUACAAUCUAAUGUUUUCACACCUGUUGGCUGUUUAUUAAAUGCAACCAUGGAGAGGGGCUGGGUGCUACAUUUUCGUUAUCUUUUCUUCAUUCACUUUACAUGAUUUGAGUCUUGUCUAUUGAAUAACACACACAACUACACAAAAAUAGUAAAUUAAUAAUUCUCAGUGUAAUAAAUGGAAUUGUUUCGUGCUAA